rnacentral:rRNA from 1 species
GACGAACGCUGGCGGCGUGCUUAACACAUGCAAGUCGAACGGAAAGGCCCCUUUGGGGGUACUCGAGUGGCGAACGGGUGAGUAACACGUGAGUAACCUGCCCUUGACUUCGGGAUAACUUCAGGAAACUGGGGCUAAUACCGGAUAGGAAUCCUUGCUGCAUGGUGGGGGUUGGAAAGCUUCGGCGGUUUUGGGUGGACUCGCGGCUUAUCAGCUUGUUGGUGGGGUAGUGGCUUACCAAGGCUUUGACGGGUAGCCGGCCUGAGAGGGCGACCGGCCACAUUGGGACUGAGAUACGGCCCAGACUCCUACGGGAGGCAGCAGGGGGGAAUAUUGCACAAUGGGCGGAAGCCGGAUGCAGCAACGCCGCGUGCGGGAUGACGGCCUUCGGGUUGUAAACCGCUUUCAGCAGGGGCGAAGCUUGUGGUGACGGUACCUGCAGAAGAAGCACCGGCUAACUACGUG